rfam:Gregarina niphandrodes unplaced genomic scaffold scaffold00196, whole genome shotgun sequence.
GGCUGUUUGGUCUAGUGGUAUGAUUCUUCCUUCGGGUGGAAGACGGCCUGGGCUCGAUUCCCAAAGCAGCCC